rnacentral:tRNA from 1 species
GUUCUUGUAGUUGAAUAACAACGGUGGUUUUUCAAGCCAUUGGCUCAGGUUAGACUCCUGGCGGGAAUU